UACAGAGGUCCCAAGCGUUGUUCGGAUUCAUUGGGCGUAAAGGGUGCGUAGGCGGCGCGGUAAGUCGGGUGUGAAAUCUCGGAGCUUAACUCCGAAACUGCAUUCGAUACUGCCGUGCUUGAGGACUGGAGAGGAGACUGGAAUUCAUGGUGUAGCAGUGAAAUGCGUAGAGAUCAUGAGGAAGACCAGUGGCGAAGGCGGGUCUCUGGACAGUUCCUGACACUGAGACACGAAGGCCAGGGGAGCAAACGGG
rnacentral:rRNA from 1 species